GCAGUAGCCGCGGGAAUACGGAGGGUGCAAGCGUUAUCCGGAAUCAUUGGGUUUAAAGGGUCCGUAGGCGGUCUUGUAAGUCAGUGGUGAAAGCCCAUCGCUCAACGGUGGAACGGCCAUUGAUACUGCAGGACUUGAAUUAUUGGGAAGUAACUAGAAUAUGUAGUGUAGCGGUGAAAUGCUUAGAGAUUACAUGGAAUACCAAUUGCGAAGGCAGGUUACUACCAAUUGAUUGACGCUGAUGGACGAAAGCGUGGGUAGCGAACAGGAUUAGAUACCCCCGUAGUCCCUGUCUCUUAUAA
rnacentral:rRNA from 1 species